rnacentral:rRNA from 1 species
ACGGGGUGCAGCAGGCGCGAAAACUUUACAAUGCGGGAAACCGUGAUAAGGGAACUCCGAGUGCCCGUAAAAUCGGGCUGUCCAUCUGUUUAAAUAACAGGUGAAGAAAGGGCCGGGCAAGACCGGUGCCAGCCGCCGCGGUAAUACCGGCGGCUCGAGUGGUGGCCACUAUUACUGGGCUUAAAGCGUUCGUAGCUGGUCUGUUAAGUCUCUGGGGAAAUCUGCCGGCUUAACCGGCAGGCGUCUCAGGGAUACUGGCAGACUAGGGACCGGGAGAGGUGAGAGGUACUCCAGGGGUAGGAGUGAAAUCCUGUAAUCCUUGGGGGACCACCUGUGGCGAAGGCGUCUCACCAGAACGGCUCCGACAGUGAGGGACGAAAGCUGGGGGAGCAAACCGGAUUAGAUACCCGGGUAGUCCCAGCCGUAAACGAUGCGCGUUAGGUGUAUCGAUGACCACGAGUCAUCGAGGUGCCGAAGAGAAAUCGUGAAACGUGCCGCCUGGGAAGUACGGUCGCAAGGCUGAAACUUAAAGGAAUUGGCGGGGGAGCAC